ensembl:snRNA U2 U2 spliceosomal RNA
AAGGCUUCUCGGCCUUUUGGUUAAGAUCAAGUGUAGAUUUGUAAAUUAUAAAUAUGUACAUGAGAUCUAAGGGGCACCCUUUUCUAUUUGGAGGGAAAAUCAUUAGCUUGCUAUUUUGCCUUUAUAGUGUGUAGUGUUUUUUUCUGCAAUAGUGCUACAUAAAUUACA